ensembl:lncRNA
CCCAGUUUCCAUCAAAAUGUCUUUGUACUUCAGGUUCAUCGUCUGAAGUUUUCGGUGGUGCAUUUUCUUGAGGAAAAUGAGGUGGAUGUGGCACCAUCAUUAUGGUUGGAGAAGAGCAAUGGGGUUCUGAAUUGCUAUUGGCGGCAAAUAAUGCCAGCGUUCUGGUAAGAGACGCUGUGCUCUGCCCGACAAGGUACUUUGGAAAAAGUACAAAGUUGGCGUUUUCUCUACAACAGACAGCUACAGCCUGGCCAGGGAGAGGGCAAGAAAGGGGCAAGACACCUCUCAGGUGGAAACGGUGGAGAUAAAUUCGAGGAGGAUAAACGUUCCUGCCAGGUACCAGGAGCCUGAUAGUGACGAUGAGGAAGAAGUAAUAAAGAAAAAAAAAAAAAGAACAAUAAAACCUGGAGUGUUGCCAAGAAGGCCUGCGUUCCCUUCACCACCUAUCAUCACACCUGUCAGGGUCGAUGAUGAAGGCAUGGCUGGUGUAUCAGCUGCUGGAAUCCAACCACAUAAUAGUAAUAGUUUGUUAGUUGGUCAAACUAGUUUGUUGGCAAUUAUUCAGAGCUAGGCUACCUAGCCUACAUCACUUAUUGUUCUUUGCAUUUGCUCUGCAGUUACUCCAUGUGAAUCCUCCACCAUCGGGGGAGAAACCUAUGAGGCCUUUCAAGGGAACCAUCAAGAUGGAACGGAUACAGUCUCCAAAGAGAUUUUCAGUUUCCUGGAGGGUAUGGAGAGGAGGAUUAUGCUGAAGUUGGAAAGGAUGCACGAGGACAUAAGAAAUGGCAAUGGUAGAGUCAUGGAGGCUGUGGAGUCCAGGCCAGGAAGGACAUCUGAGGCAGCUGAAGAGGACAUGUUAGAGGGUCCAUGUCAAAACCUCGCAGACUUGGAGGACCUCUGCAAAAAGAUUGCAGACCGCUCUUUUAAAAAGAAAAUGAUUCGGCACCUGAGCCUUCUUGGAGGCAGCAAUGUCGGGGAUGGGGUUGGAAGGAUGCUGAGAAAAAUCGGCACUAAUGAGCUGUGGAAGGGGUUCAGUUUAAAGGGGAGAAAGGGGAAGAGACCCUUCCACAGUUUAUUAAUUUAUGACGUGGUGAUACGUGCCUGCAGCCGUACCUUUCCGAAUGUGGACUGCCAGAAGGUGGAGGAGGCCAUUGCGGUUACCCUCAAACAUGCUCCCCACCGCAGAUCAACAAACCAGUUUCCUGGAGGGUAUGGAGAGGAGGAAAGGAUGCACGAGGACCUAAGAAAUGGCAAUGGUAGAGUCAUGGAGGCUGUGGAGUCCAGGCC